rnacentral:lncRNA from 1 species
CUCUGCAUCCUCCCUCUUUCUUCAUUUUUUUCAAGUAUACUGUCCAUUUUGCCAAUUUGUUCCCAUAGAAACCACUGAAAAUUUACAGCUUGUUUAAGUGGGUCUGAGAAGAGGCACAGGUUGUUGUGGAUAUGAAGUGAGUUUAUACUGCAAAAUACUUAGAGGAUCCAUGAAUGGAUUUCCUCCCCUCUCCCCAACUAGUUUUAUAGCAGGACUCUUUUCUUGAUAUCUCCUUUGGCCUUAGCAUACAUUUGGACAUAAUGCACUCUAGGCACAGUGCUACUAGAAUGACUUCUUUAAGUAUUGCCCCCUAAAGAUUUCUAAAAUUGCAGGCAUAUGAAGAGAGAUGGUGCAUUAAAUCCUUUAACACAUUAGCACAAUUGCUAACAGAGUCAGUGGUUGCCAGAAUAAAACUUUGAGCAUUUCCUUCUUUGUUAAGGGCAUCCCUUCUCACUUCUUUGACUGACAGUCAUUUAAUCUUUACUUAAAAGUAGCUAAUCAGGAAACUUAUCUCUGGGGAGACUGCAAACACUGGAUGCCUGAGUAGGAGUAAGAGGAAAUUAAAAGGGGUGGGGGCAGAGAAGGUGGAAAAAGGGGACACCCAGGGCAAAAAUUCCAGAUCUUGUGAAUUUGCCUGCAGGUCCUGCCCUCCGUCCUCUUGGCCAACAUUUCCCAGCUUCCUUAAAGAGUCAUAUACAUCCUGGAGGGAACAUGGUUCUGACCUUUAUCUUUCAAAGUCAUAAUUGUGAUGACAGGGACACGUGUGUGAUUUUCAAAAGGAAACUGGUUUUAUUUUUUGACAGGGUCCUUUGCUGUCCUUUGUGUUUCUUUUUUUUCCAAGUACAUUGUCCAUUUUGCCAGUGUGUUUCCAUGGACACCAUUGACAAUUUACAGGUUAUUUAAGUAGAUCUGAGAAGAGGCAAUAGUAAUAAAUAAAGCUCUGACAUGGGCUAUAAAUAGCCAGAGUGCUCCAGACUGCCCAUCUUCCACCUGUCUCCUUACCACUUAGCAAAUCAAGUUUACAAUAAUAAUUUAAAAAAUGCUACACUGUUUUUUUUUCCCUCCUGGAUUUGAGAAAGUUGAAGACUUGUCAAUCCCUAUCUUUUUGGAUAUUAUAAUGGAAGUUGUGGCCAAUCUAAAGAGAAUAGGACAUUCUCAAAUGAACCAAUAAAUCAUGGCCCACACACAGCUGUUAGCAUUUAUUUUUCUCAGGGCAGUCAGGGCAAAUGUGACUGCUAAAAUGAUUGCAAACAGCAGGGAAGAAAGCUUGGAAUUUUUGUCCUUUUCACUGACAGUGAAGGGGGUAGAUGGAGCAGGGAAAAGGUCGUUGCUGAGAGUUACAACAGACUGAUGCUGAGAGUAGGAGGCAAUUUUUACAAUUCAGGGGACCAGCUCCAUAGUAUCUAUGACAAGGAGGCAAAUCAGGGGAGCAUGAGGGCUGAGCCCCAAAGAACUGGCUGGCUGUAAAAGAGAGUUUCCUCCAUUUAGAUAAGUGUACGUCCAGCUCCACUUCCAGCCCCUGCCCCACAGUAACAAUGAUGCUUAGAUACCAUUCCCUGUUGCUAGGGUUUAAAUUAAGAGGGAAAUCGUUAAAAAAAAAAAAAGUGAGUCUCCAUUUAAACUAUGAGAGAGAAUGUAAAAAAGGCUGAGUCUCGUAGGAAAUAAAAGAAGAAAAAGAAUAAAGGUGAGGGAAAAGAUAAGAAUGGAGAUACAUAGAACAAUUUAGAAAUGAAGAUAAUUCAAGACUGUGUUGAAGGAGAAAAAGAAAUCAAUGAGUUGUAAUGUUAAAUAUGAUAAGAUUGACUAAUGAAAAAUUAGUGAUUGUUCAUCUGCCAUUUUUCUAGCAUUCUACUAAUGUACAAUGAGGAAAAAAUUGAAGGCUGAAAUUUCUUCCCUAGAAAAUUUACAGCAGAUGAAGAAAAGCUUGAAUGUCAAAAUGAAGUUUAUUUCCCCAAUCCCAUUGGUCUUCACUGUAGGGGAAGAAGAAAUUAAAGCUAAAACAGUGGUAGAUGGAAAGUCAUACUUUGGACAAGGCCAGACAGCCCUAGAGAAUGUAGCCACUCUUGUUGCUGUAGAUUAGUACUGGAUCAGUAUCAAUCUAGAUGUCAAAAUGUCCCCUGGUUAAAUGCAUUGGAAAAUAAAGAAGUUGAAGAAAAUAGUUUAUAUUGCUGAUAUGAUAAUGAGCUAACCAAGUUAGCUUUAGCAGUCACUCCUGUUCCCCAGCACUGAGCCAAAUACUUACUCUAAGGCUUAGUUGAGAUAUUGGUUUUAUCCUCAUCAAGAGGUGGCAAAAUUGGAGAGCUAACAAGAGGCUGAUAACCAUGCUGGAUCACUUAGUGUUCUUACCAGCUCGGUGUUCUCAUUCAUUCAGUAUGGAAGAGGGUGGAAUCCAGGAAAAUCUUAUCUGGCUCCUCUCUCUAUAUACACAGAUUAGAAUCUCUAGGAAGUAUGGAGAUGGUGCUCUUAGAGUUUAGAGCACUGAUACACAAUUUGCUGGAAUGUUUUAAUGAUACUAAAAUAUCCAUUCAUUCUAUUUAUUAAUUCCAGUAGCCUGAAAUUGCAUUGUGACUGUAUGAGGUAAAGGGCUCUGAAUAAGGAGGUAGCAGAAUGAUAACUUGUGACCUCAGUGUACAUCAAUGACCACAAUAAUGAAAUUGAAAUAAAGGUCUAAUGCGGGCCUAAACCUUACUAAGGAGCAAGAGAAACCUCUCCAAAAGGACUCGUAAAUGUGGACCAUCUCUUCAAGACACCCAAGGGACAAGCCAAGUGGACCAAAGGGAUAGAAUAUUCAGUGAAUGACAUACUCUCAUACAAGAUGCUGAGAAAUUUGUCUAUUGACAAUUUCACCAGCCAGACAGAAGACAUGCAAACAGAUGAAUAGCCAGAUAAAUAUUGCAUAUAGUAAUUAUGCACCAGCUAUAAAUAUGGUGAGUUGAUGUUUUCUGCCCUCGGGGAAGUGCAGUUAAAAUUGGGAUAGCAAUUUUGAUGAGAAGGGAAUCAGAACUCGGGGAACUUGAUUUCAGAAUUUUAAAUAGCCCUGGAGACUGGGUCAUCGUAAUAAAGCAUUAUACACCACCAAGGAGAAUUUCAUUUUCCUGGGUCACUCCCAUGAGGUUUGCAUGCGAAGAGGUUAUGAUUCUUUCCUGUCUGUUUGUUUCCAGCAGCAGGAUUCCUUGGGCUAUGAUGUCCAUUUGUGCUACAGUAUUUCGCCACAGGCAAUCUGGCCCGGCUGCUUUUUGCUUUACUAGGAUGCUCCACUGUAAUAAUAAGAUUAGCUCCCCCAAACCAAACAUCUUGACCCCUGUUUUUGCUGAAACUUGUUCUCUAAUGUUAGGGAAGUGUAAAUUCUGAAGCUAAAUCCUGUGGUACAGGAAGAAAAAAAGAAACCCUAAGUGCAUCUCAGAAAGUUAUAUCUCUGCUAGUGAUUUAUGUUUUCUGCUUUGUAAGCUGUGAUAGAAAUAUGGUCUUAGAUAUGAGGAUAAAGUUUAAUAUCCUAGUGUUCAAAAUAUAUAUCCCCAGUGCAAACUUUCUCCACGCUGAGUUGCUGUAAUUUCAGUUAACUGUUUUCCUUUCUUUUCUUGAAAAAUCUUUGUUUCCUGUUAUUAUAUGACUCUCAGAGGUCAGCAGUGAUUCUAGGAAAUGGCUGCCUUCCUUCCAUUUGAGUAAAAAUAACAAGUAGAAAAAGUGAUUCCCAUUGGCAUGAGCUUUUAUCGAUUGUGGAUUAGUCCAGAUCUUGUUGGGUAGGGGGACUAGGAUCCUUGGGCUUAUGCUCACAUUGUACAUUCUUGUGAAUUCCUCUUCUGGAGUUCUUCUUCAACAUGAAAGUGCUUAGGACACAUCUCUACUUAAAAAUAUUUCCUUGGUUCCUUAUCACUUGCCAGUCUGAGUAUUUUUUAGUAUGGCACCCAAAGCCCUUUAUAAUAUUGCCCGAAGCAUGCUAAGCCUUUCUGUUCACCUCUGUCCAUGGAUCACUAUUCCUAGAACAACAUCCAACCCACCACACAUUCAUUUUUUUCUAGCCUUUGAAUAGUCUGACUUCUCUGCUUGGAAUGCCUUCCCCCCCCCCCAACCAUGCCAGCAAUAUGGGGAAGUUCCUAGGACAGGGAUGGAACUCGCACCACAGCAAGUGACCCAAGCAGUUCCAGUGACAAUGCUAGAUCCUUAACCCGCUGCACCACAGAAGAACUCCCUAGAAUACCAUCAUUUUUCUCUCUUUAACAUAUCCCCUCUCUAAAUCUUCUUCCCAACCUACUUACUCUCAAAGAUCCAGCUUAAAUGUCACCUCUGUGAAGUCCUCCUGAACAACUCUCCUGAUACUGAAUUGCAAAAUGAUCCCUUGUCUCUUUUCUAACAAACAGACUCAUUCAAGGUCAAGGAUAUUUUCUCAUUAGCCCCUGUGCCUCCUGGGCCCAAAAAUACAUACUAAACUUACUAGGCACUUAUCAGGGGGGAAAAUGAAGAAAUAAUGAAUAGAUAUUAGAGAAAGAGUGUAAAAAGGAACAACUACAUUAAAAAGUCACAUAUUCUCUUUCUAAACAUGCAUUCAUAUUUUAACUUAGUUAUACUUUAUAUAUUGACUUUGUAACUGCACAAUAAACAAAGAAUUUAAAUUCAAAAGAAAAUCAUGAAGUCCAAUCUUUUUUGUUGGUGCAUGGAAGGACUUCAGAUUGGCAUGAUAUGGAUAAUUAUUUUGAUGAUUUAUUUUGGUGUUAAAAGCUAUCCUGAAACCUAGAGGCUUAUAACAGUUAUUUACAAACUUUUGUGAGUAGGAAUUCUGGAAUGAUUUGACUGGAUGGUUGGUGCCUAUAGUUGGAGGAGCUCCUGUGUGGCACUUGCCUUAUAUGUGGGUACUUUGGUGCUCCUUGGUUUCUCUCUCUCUCUGUCUCUCCAUGUGACAUGUCUUCCUCCAGGACCUCUGCACUUUUCACUUGAUGGUCUCUCCACUUCCUACCUGAUGGCUGCCUCCCAGAGCUAGAAGGGCAUGCUGCCAGGCCAGUUAAAAACUAUCCCUGGAACUGGCAUUAGUCACUUCCUGCACACUCUAUUGAUCAGAGCAGACAGAAUCCAAUGAGAUUCGAUGGGGUGGAGAGAUGGACACCACCUCUUAAUGGGAUGUGACAAGAUUAUAUUGAAGAGAAGCAUGUGAGACAGAGCAUGAUUUAGCUGCCAUCUUUGGGAAAUAUAACCUGUGAUGCAAUUAAUACAUGUUUGAUAAAUCAGCGCCCAUGGGACCUUGCCACAAAGAUCAAUUAACUCUCUAGUAAUGUUCAAGGCUUCUCACUGUGAUAAGGAUUAAUCCAGUGUAAGCUGCUUUUUGUCAUCUCUCAGUCGUGGAGAUGGAAUCUCUGAGGAAGAAAAGGGAAACCAAGCCUGCUGUCCUUCAUUUAGGGCUUUUGAUCACAUUUAUCUUAUCUAACAUAUACUGCAGAAUCAAGGGAGAGAAAGCUCCGCUUAUACUGUGAGGACUUACCCUUGAGGAACUCAUUCCCCCAAAAUGUGUCCUUAGGUAAAUUCAUGGGUAAUAGAUUUCUCUUAUAGGAAACAGAAAUGUUAGAGAGCUAUUCUUGCCUUUGAGGCUGACAGCAGAAAGAGAAGGUUUUUCGAGCUUAAAAUUGAGAUCCUACUAUUGCAUCAUGGAAUCAGUUUAGUGGGUCUGAACCAGUAAUUAAAAAUAAAAAAGGAAUCAGAUGAAAUAUGGAGUAUCAGUUAGACAUAAUGUAGCAUACAUACAAUGUGAAAGAGUAUGUAUAGGUGAGUUUUUUUACAUGUGUGUGUGAGGGGGACUCCUGGAUUACAAUGUAAACUCUAUUUCUAACAGUGAUACACAGUCAAAAAUGUUUUUAUGCCCUCUCAUGAACCCUCUCUUGGUGCCACUUUCAAAAGCAAAACACAGGACUAGAGGGACCAUCGGUUUGAUGCAGCAUGGCAUUUCUGAUGUUCUUAUAAAAAAUAUUUUGUUUGGGGCCCAGAAUGACAAAUAGCUCAGAGUCCAAUAGAAACAUCAUUUUCUAAGAGAAGAAAUUGCUUUACAGACAGUGUACAACAAAAUAAAAUAUCUCACCUCCACAGCUUCUGCCCUCCGUUGCCUAUAAAGAAUUUUUAUAGAAGACUUUUUUUUUUCUUUCUCUCUUUUCAAAUGUACAUUUCGUUGAAUCGAUUUCCCAAGAGCUUAAUUCUUCACCUACCCAAUGUUGCUGACCCUUGACAGGCUGCAAGACAUGGUCCAGUUUCGAUCCUGAUGUGCUGAGAAAAACCUCAUGGGGCAGUGAGGGCUCCAGCUGAUGAGGCUGGGAAAUGUUUGGCACCAUCCUCAGCGCAUGUGUGGAGGAUUUGACCCAGAGAUGUUUCUUCAGACUCCGAUCUCUCACAUGCCUCUCAGUCGCCUUCCCUCUGUGACGCAAUAUCUCACCACUGUUAUCUUAUCCCCACCUAUAAUAGUACAGUGGGAUAUUCUAGCGCCUUUUUGGAACGUUUUUGACUUUCCAAAUCAACCCCCUUUAAAAUUAUGAUUCUUUGUCAGCAAUCAAUAUAGUUAACAAAAAUACUUUUCAAAUGCACUCUUUCAUUUACUAUUCAGAACAGACUUAUCAUACAUAUUUUCAUUUUAAAGUUAGAGAAGUUGAGGCUCAGAGAGGUUCAAUUGUUUGUUCAAGGUCAUACAUAGUCAUGGAGCAGCAGGCCAAAAAAUUGUUGACUCCACAUCUUACACCAUGCUGCCCUCGGCCAGAGAAAAAUGGGCCUGAGCUGGGUCUCU